rnacentral:rRNA from 1 species
CAGUCGCCGCGGGAAUACGGAGGGAGCUAGCGUUGUUCGGAAUUACUGGGCGUAAAGCGCACGUAGGCGGCUUUGUAAGUUAGAGGUGAAAGCCUGGAGCUCAACUCCAGAAUUGCCUUUAAGACUGCAUCGCUUGAAUCCGGGAGAGGUGAGUGGAAUUCCGAGUGUAGAGGUGAAAUUCGUAGAUAUUCGGAAGAACACCAGUGGCAAAGGCGGCUCACUGGACCGGCAUUGACGCUGAGGUGCGAAAGCGUGGGGAGCAAACAGGAUUAGAUACCCGCGUAGUCCCUGUCUCUUAUAC